rnacentral:lncRNA from 1 species
UUGGCGAAUUUUACAGCCAUAUGGCCUAGUCCACCGAGACCAACCACACCCACAUGCAGACCAGGUUUGUCUAGUGCAAAAUAUCUGAGAGGGCUAUAAACUGUGAUGCCAGCACAAAGGAGAGGUGCAGCAGCAUCAAGUGGUAAGCCAUCAGGAAUUCGAACCACAAAGUGUUCAUCUGCAACCAUUGAAUCAGAGUAACCUCCAUAUGUGAUGCUACCAUCUUUAUAUUUGUCAUCAUAUGUGAGAGUAUAUUGUGGACAAUAAUUCUCAAGAUUG